CAGUGGAAUGCACCGCAAAGAUCUCGCGGCUAUGCUACAAGGACUGGAAAAUGUUUUCACAUAUGCAUUGACGUGCAUGGAACUAAGAUCUGAUAAAUGGAAGGACCUAAACAUCAAAACAUGGAAAAUAGAAGAGUGUAUUAAGAGAAGCCUACAGACAGAUGGGUCAUCGUGUGGAUUGUGGAGGUUAAAUUUCAUGGAAUACUCGGACAUGAAAUAUUUUGUCUGACAUU